rnacentral:lncRNA from 1 species
CUGGAUAUGGCUCUGGAAACUGGGCUGGGCCGAGAGUCGGGCCGGAUGCUGGACCUGAGUGGAGAGGGCCUAUUAGUCGCGGACUGGGCUGAUUCUGAGUGAAGAAGCUGGGUUGAUCCCGGCCUUGAAGGUUAAAAUGGCCGGGCUUGUUGUACAUAUCAGGUGCGUGGGCCUCCACGUUAUGGGCCUUCGGCUGUGGUCAAGCCCUCGAUCUGGGGUAGAGAAAUCCAGCGGUCAUCACAUUUAAUUGAAAAAAAAUUAUAUUUCUUUCGCU